rnacentral:sRNA from 16 species
UGAUCUGGACGUAGAGCGCGUCCAGGGUAAAUGAAAGAAAGCUCACUGAGA